AGAGUUUGAUCAUGGCUCAGAUUGAACGCUGGCGGCAGGCCUAACACAUGCAAGUCGAGCGGUAGCACAGAGAGCUUGCUCUCGGGUGACGAGCGGCGGACGGGUGAGUAAUGUCUGGGAAACUGCCUGAUGGAGGGGGAUAACUACUGGAAACGGUAGCUAAUACCGCAUAAUGUCGCAAGACCAAAGUGGGGGACCUUCGGGCCUCAUGCCAUCAGAUGUGCCCAGAUGGGAUUAGCUAGUAGGUGGGGUAACGGCUCACCUAGGCGACGAUCCCUAGCUGGUCUGAGAGGAUGACCAGCCACACUGGAACUGAGACACGGUCCAGACUCCUACGGGAGGCAGCAGUGGGGAAUAUUGCACAAUGGGCGCAAGCCUGAUGCAGCCAUGCCGCGUGUGUGAAGAAGGCCUUCGGGUUGUAAAGCACUUUCAGCGGGGAGGAAGGCGUUAAGGUUAAUAACCUUGGCGAUUGACGUUACCCGCAGAAGAAGCACCGGCUAACUCCGUGCCAGCAGCCGCGGUAAUACGGAGGGUGCAAGCGUUAAUCGGAAUUACUGGGCGUAAAGCGCACGCAGGCGGUCUGUCAAGUCGGAUGUGAAAUCCCCGGGCUCAACCUGGGAACUGCAUUCGAAACUGGCAGGCUAGAGUCUUGUAGAGGGGGGUAGAAUUCCAGGUGUAGCGGUGAAAUGCGUAGAGAUCUGGAGGAAUACCGGUGGCGAAGGCGGCCCCCUGGACAAAGACUGACGCUCAGGUGCGAAAGCGUGGGGAGCAAACAGGAUUAGAUACCCUGGUAGUCCACGCCGUAAACGAUGUCGAUUUGGAGGUUGUGCCCUUGAGGCGUGGCUUCCGGAGCUAACGCGUUAAAUCGACCGCCUGGGGAGUACGGCCGCAAGGUUAAAACUCAAAUGAAUUGACGGGGGCCCGCACAAGCGGUGGAGCAUGUGGUUUAAUUCGAUGCAACGCGAAGAACCUUACCUGGUCUUGACAUCCACAGAACUUUCCAGAGAUGGAUUGGUGCCUUCGGGAACUGUGAGACAGGUGGCUGCAUGGCUGUCGUCAGCUCGUGUUGUGAAAUGUUGGGUUAAGUCCCGCAACGAGCGCAACCCUUAUCCUUUGUUGCCAGCGGUCCGGCCGGGAACUCAAAGGAGACUGCCAGUGAUAAACUGGAGGAAGGUGGGGAUGACGUCAAGUCAUCAUGGCCCUUACGACCAGGGCUACACACGUGCUACAAUGGCAUAUACAAAGAGAAGCGACCUCGCGAGAGCAAGCGGACCUCAUAAAGUAUGUCGUAGUCCGGAUUGGAGUCUGCAACUCGACUCCAUGAAGUCGGAAUCGCUAGUAAUCGUAGAUCAGAAUGCUACGGUGAAUACGUUCCCGGGCCUUGUACACACCGCCCGUCACACCAUGGGAGUGGGUUGCAAAAGAAGUAGGUAGCUUAACCUUCGGGAGGGCGCUUACCACUUUGUGAUUCAUGACUGGGGUGAAGUCGUAACAAGGUAACCGUAGGGGAACCUGCGGUUGGAUCACCU
rnacentral:rRNA from 1 species